GACGAACGCUGGCGGCGUGCUUAACACAUGCAAGUCGAACGGAAAGGCCCUGCUUUUGUGGGGUGCUCGAGUGGCGAACGGGUGAGUAACACGUGAGUAACCUGCCCUUGACUUUGGGAUAACUUCAGGAAACUGGGGCUAAUACCGGAUAGGAGCUCCUGCUGCAUGGUGGGGGUUGGAAAGUUUCGGUGGUUGGGGAUGGACUCGCGGCUUAUCAGCUUGUUGGUGGGGUAGUGGCUUACCAAGGCUUUGACGGGUAGCCGGCCUGAGAGGGUGACCGGCCUCAAUGGGACUAUGAUACGGCCCAGACUCCUACGGGAGGCAGCAGUGGGGAAUAUUGCACAAUGGGCGGAAGCCUGAUGCAGCAACGCCGCGUGCGGGAUGACGGCCUUCGGGUUGUAAACCGCUUUCGCCUGUGACGAAGCGUGAGUGACGGUAAUGGGUAAAGAAGCACCGGCUAACUACGUG
rnacentral:rRNA from 1 species